rnacentral:rRNA from 1 species
CCCUUAGAUGUCCUGGGCUGCACGCGCGCUACACUGAUGUGUCCAGUAAGCACCUAACCUCUUCCGAAAGGAACGGGUAACCUUUGCAAAGCACAUCGUGAUGGGGAUAGAUUAUUGCAAUUGUUAAUCUUGAACGAGGAAUUCCUAGUAAACGCGAGUCAUCAGCUCGCAUUGAUUACGUCCCUGCCCUUUGUACACACCGCCCGUCGCACCUACCGAUUGAAUGGUUCGGUGAAGAUCUCGGACUUCGAUAUUUAUUCUUUAUUGAGUUUAUAUUGUGGGAAGUUAUCUAAACCUCAUCAUUUAGAGGAAGGUGAAGUCGUAACA